rnacentral:rRNA from 1 species
AUUGAACGCUGGCGGCAUGCUUUACACAUGCAAGUCGGACGGCAGCACAGAGAAGCUUGCUUCUUGGGUGGCGAGUGGCGAACGGGUGAGUAACAUAUCGGAACGUACCGAGCAGUGGGGGAUAACUAAUCGAAAGAUUAGCUAAUACCGCAUAUAUUCUGAGGAAGAAAGCAGGGGACCAUUUGGCCUUGCGCUGUUUGAGCGGCCGAUAUCUGAUUAGCUAGUUGGUGGGGUAAAGGCCUACCAAGGCGACGAUCAGUAGCGGGUCUGAGAGGAUGAUCCGCCACACUGGGACUGAGACACGGCCCAGACUCCUACGGGAGGCAGCAGUGGGGAAUUUUGGACAAUGGGCGCAAGCCUGAUCCAGCCAUGCCGCGUGUCUGAAGAAGGCCUUCGGGUUGUAAAGGACUUUUGUCAGGGAAGAAAAGGGCGGGGUUAAUACCCCUGUCUGAUGACGGUACCUGAAGAUAGC